rnacentral:rRNA from 1 species
AGUUGGAUAGAGGCAAGUGGAAUUCCAUGUGUAGUGGUAAAAUGCGUAAAUAUAUGGAGGAACACCAUGAGCGAAGGCGGCUUGCUGGGUCUUAACUGACGCUGAGGCACGAAAGCGUGGGGAGCAAACAGGAUUAGAUACCCUGGUAGUCCACGCCGUAAACGAUGAGUACUAGACGUUGGGUUAAACCAGUGUCGAAGUUAACACAUUAAGUACUCCGCCUGAGUAGUACGUACGCAAGUAUGAAACUUAAAGGAAUUGACGGGACUCCGCACAAGCGGUGGAUCAUGUUGUUUAAUUCGAAGGUACCCGAAAAACCUCACCAGGUCUUGACAUGUUUCUGCAAAGCUGUAGAAAUACAGCGGAGGUUAUCAGUUGCACAGGUGGUGCAUGGUUGUCGUCAGCUCGUGUCGUGAGAUGUUGGGUUAAGUCCCGCAACGAGCGCAACCCUUGUUGUUAAUUGCCAUCAUUAAGUUGGGGACUUUAGCAAGACUGCCAGUGAUAAAUUGGAGGAAGGUGGGGACGACGUCAAAUCAUCAUGCCCCUUAUGACCUGGGCUACAAACGUGAUACAAUGGCUGUUACAAAGGGUAGCUGAAGCGCAAGCUUUUGGCAAAUCUCAAAAAAACAGUCUCAGUUCGGAUUGAAGUCUGCAACUCGACUUCAUGAAGUUGGAAUCGCUAGUAAUCGCGAAUCAGCAUGUCGCGGUGAAUACGUUCUCGGGGUUUGUACACACCGCCCGUCAAACCACGAAGGUUGGCAAUACCCAAAGCCGGUGGCCUAACUUGAGCAAUCAAGAGGGAUCCGUCUAAGGUAGGGUCGAUGAUUGGGGUUAAGUCGUAACAAGGUAUCCCUACCGGAAGGUGGGGAUGGAUCACCUC